rnacentral:lncRNA from 1 species
GGCAGAGGAGUUCAUAGAGAAUAUGGGAAGUCAUCAGAGGCUUUUGAGUCAGAGACUGAUAACAUCACCAAAACUAUAUUGUAAGAUGAGUAAUCCAUUAGUUAUUAGGUAGGGAGGUUUGAGGCAAAGAGGAGGACAGACUGAAGUCAUAAGGACUUUUGAAGUAAGGAAUGAGAAAGGUGACAGUGGGAACUGGAGCGCAGGAAUGGAGAGGAGCUUCACUGUGGAGAUUCUGGUCCACAAGUCCCUUGCUCAGAGGGGUCCCAAGGCACCAAUCCAGGGUGAAUUCUAACACUGCCUCUGCUUGGGUCUUCACUUGACCUUUCAAGAGGAGCUGCUCACUCUCUGGACCUCGUUUACUCUUUCCUGACUGAAAGUGGCACACGCAGUUCCAGCAAACGGAAGUAGGAGCAGAAAUGCUGUGUAGCCCAUGUUUGGGCUCCCCUGGCUUUGCCUCUCCUUUCCUCCACCUGGCCACAAGCCAAGCUGGUUUUCAGUGGCUGCUCCUGUUUCUAGGAUGGAUACUCCCCUCCCCACCCCCUGCUAUUAUGAUGGAAUUGGGGCAUCUGGUGAGGCAUCAGAGUUGGACAACCAGCUGCCACAGCUGUAGUUUGAUCUCCAGGGCAUAGAAUCUCUGGAAACUCUAAAUCCCAAGGUCAAGAAAUCCACCUCUGCUCCUUCUCAGCCAGCAGCAGCAUUCCCAAUCACAGCUCUUCCCCAGGUAAACAAUGAAUGUGAGCGUCUUCAGGAGAGGGUGGAAGGAGGGCAGUCUUAGAAAGACCCCGACAGAGAGAUGGAUAGACAAAACAACUACAGCACAGAAGAAACUAUCUAUGCCACAAGGGGAACGAUGAUGCUGUGACCAGCUAGAAAGAAACAGCCAAGCAGAUGUGGAUCACUUUGGAGAAAAACUCUCAUGGGUGGUAUCCUGGAUUCAGGAAAGGGAUCAAGUGUGGGGAGUAGCCAAAGGAAAUCCUGCACCUCAGCAACAACUUCAGUGCUUUGAGCAGAGGGAACAGAAUGGCUUUCUUUCACCUCAGAGAAAGUGAGUUUGCAGCAGCUGCCCAGCCCCAAGACUUGAGAGGUGGAAUGGGUUGAAGAACAAGCAGGUGGGAACACAUCACUUUUGGCACAUCCCCGAGUUCUAGAAAAAGUGAA